UGGAUGCGCCGUUUCCAUCAUUAUUCCCUUGGGUUGGCUGGAGGUGCUCAGUGGAAGGCUCCAGCACGUAUAGUUCAUGGGCAGCUUGCUGGUGCGGUCAGGAGUCCCUGGUGCAAAGCUGCAUCCUGCCAUGCCCCAUUUGGGAGCUGCCAGCUUUGGAGGCCACCACGAGAAGGUUCAAAGCAGCCUUGGGAGGAGAGGACAGGCUCCGCUGCACCCAGAGAGGGCACCGGGGAAUUGCUGCUUCUGGCUGGGAGCUGCCGGGACCCUCCUGCAAUGGGUUCCAACCCGACACAGGGCUGAGCUGCACAUGGACUCGGCCCCGUCUGCCUUUGAUCUCAAGCCCUGUCAAGAAGGAUGCUGCGCAGGAAUCUCACCCAUCAGGUACCACUAUGUCACCCGCCGUGACCAAUGCCUGACAGCUUCGGGAGCGGAGCCUCCACCUUCUGCCCCCGGGCUGGAGGCAGCGUUUGAGGGCUCCGGACUCUCCGCUCCCCUAUCCAUGAACAUCAGCAGGCAGAGCAGCCCCGGGUCCCCAGCUGCGUGUUGGAGCUGCUGCGUGCUCCAGGUUGAUGGGCUGCUGCAGAGCAGGAAGGCCGGAGGUUGUCCAUCGCAUCCUGCGGUGGUGCCCAGGGCGUGGGUACCGCGGGGGUGUCUCUGGGUGCCACCCAGUGCCAGCGCAGCUGCUUCGCCUCUUCCAUCCUCCUCUGCCCGAGUAUCCCGAGCGCCUUCUCUCGACUCGGGGUGGGGAAGCCACUAGAUGGCAACGUUACCUGCAACGCUGCUGGGGACGGAGCCGCUGGGACCCCGGCGGGGUGCGCGCGAAGGCGGAGAGCUGCCGCGCAUCACUGCGGUUCCGCUCGCCGGUUCACCUCCAGCAGCGAAGCAGCUGCAUCACCACGAAGCGUCAGAGGUGACAGCACACGACGCUCACGCAGCAGCACUCGUGUGCUCACGUGUCGUCGCCGUCCCCACGGCCUGAAAUGCUCUAAAAAGGUCUCUCAGGGGAUGCCCGAAGUGACGCAUCCUAG
ensembl:lncRNA